UACGGAGGGCGCGAGCGUUAAUCGGAAUUACUGGGCGUAAAGCGCGCGUAGGCUGUUGUGUAAGUUGGGUGUGAAAUCCCACGGCUCAACCGUGGAACAGCCCUUGAUACUGCGCGACUUGAAUCCGGGAGAGGGUGGCGGAAUUCCAGGUGUAGGAGUGAAAUCCGUAGAUAUCUGGAGGAACAUCAGUGGCGAAGGCGGCCACCUGGACCGGUAUUGACGCUGAGGCGCGAAAGCGUGGGGAGCAAACAGG
rnacentral:rRNA from 1 species